UUAACUAAAAUAAUAUUGUACUUUUAUGAGAUUAAAGUCAUAAUAUUUUGAAAAUAAAUUCGCAAUAGUGCGAUAAAAGUCAUCAUUUAUAAAUCAUAAACCUUAAUCCUCGCUGAUGACAGUUUCCUUUCACAGCGAACGCAACAAACGAAGCACCAAUUUUCACUUCUGUCGGAGCGGAUGAACACGGUGAAAUGAAAGUAGAACCUCACAAAAUGUUCCAAGUUCUCCAUUAUGC